GACUCGUAUGAAUGGCCACACGAGGGUUUUACUGUCUCUUACUUCCAAUCCGUGAAAUUGACCUUCCCGUGAAGAGGCGGGAAUAUAAUAAUAAGACGAGAAGACCCUAUGGAGCUUCAAUUAACUGAUCCAAAGAGAUUAAUAUAUACCGACAGGAACAAUAUCUCUCUAUUAAUGGAUCAACAAUUUAGGUUGGGGUGACCUCGGAGUACAAAACAACCUCCGAAUGAUUUCUAAUCAAGACUAACCAGUCAAAAGUAUUACAUCAUCAAUUGAUCCAAAACUAUUUGAUCAACGGAACAAGUUACCCUAGGGAUAACAGCGCAAUCCUAUUUUAGAGUCCAUAUCGACAAUAGGGUUUACGACCUCGAUGUUGGAUCAGGACAUCCCGAUGGUGCAGCAGCUAUCAAAGGUUCGUUUGUUCAAC
rnacentral:rRNA from 1 species